UGAAGUGGGGAAAUGUUCCAUGUGAACAUCACUUGGACAUGGUCGGUUAGUCGAUCCUAAGAGAUGGGGAAUCCUUUUAUCAAGGGUGCACUCUGCAUGAACCAUCGAAAGAGAAUUGGGUUGAUAUUCCCAAACAUGGACAUGGUGGUGGACGGCAAUGUUAGGAAAUCUAGAGAUGUCAUUGGGGGCCUAGGAAGAGUUAUCUUUUCUUUUUAAUGACUUUCCCACCCUGAAAUCGGUUCAACCAGAGAUAGGGUCCAACAUCUGAAAGAUUACCACACAUCUUGCAGUGUUUGGUGCCCCCUCGGCAGCCAUGGUGAAUCAAGUACCAUCCAUGCCUGAUCGUACUCAUAUCUGCCUCCUUGGAUUUUUCAAUGUCCACUA
rnacentral:ncRNA from 1 species